rnacentral:rRNA from 1 species
CGAAUGCUGACAUAAGUAACGAUAAAGCGGGUGAAAAGCCCGCUCGCCGGAAGACCAAGGGUUCCUGUCCAACGUUAAUCGGGGCAGGGUGAGUCGACCCCUAAGGCGAGGCCGAAAGGCGUAGUCGAUGGGAAACAGGUUAAUAUUCCUGUACUUGGUGUUACUGCGAAGGGGGGACGGAGAAGGCUAUGUUGGCCGGGCGACGGUUGUCCCGGUUUAAGCGUGUAGGCUGGUUUUCCAGGCAAAUCCGGAAAAUCAAGGCUGAGGCGUGAUGACGAGGCACUACGGUGCUGAAGCAACAAAUGCCCUGCUUCCAGGAAAAGCCUCUAAGCAUCAGGUAACAUCAAAUCGUACCCCAAACCGACACAGGUGGUCAGGUAGAGAAUACCAAGGCGCUUGAGAGAACUCGGGUGAAGGAACUAGGCAAAAUGGUGCCGUAACUUCGGGAGAAGGCACGCUGAUAUGUAGGUGAAGUCCCUCGCGGAUGGAGCUGAAAUCAGUCGAAGAUACCAGCUGGCUGCAACUGUUUAUUAAAAACACAGCACUGUGCAAACACGAAAGUGGACGUAUACGGUGUGACGCCUGCCCGGUGCCGGAAGGUUAAUUGAUGGGGUCAGCGCAAGCGAAGCUCUUGAUCGAAGCCCCGGUAAACGGCGGCCGUAACUAUAACGGUCCUAAGGUAGCGAAAUUCCUUGUCGGGUAAGUUCCGACCUGCACGAAUGGCGUAAUGAUGGCCAGGCUGUCUCCACCCGAGACUCAGUGAAAUUGAACUCGCUGUGAAGAUGCAGUGUACCCGCGGCAAGACGGAAAGACCCCGUGAACCUUUACUAUAGCUUGACACUGAACAUUGAGCCUUGAUGUGUAGGAUAGGUGGGAGGCUUGGAAGUGUGGACGCCAGUCUGCAUGGAGCCGACCUUGAAAUACCACCCUUUAAUGUUUGAUGUUCUAACGUUGACCCGUGAUCCGGGUUGCGGACAGUGUCUGGUGGGUAGUUUGACUGGGGCGGUCUCCUCCUAAAGAGUAACGGAGGAGCACGAAGGUUGGCUAAUCCUGGUCGGACAUCAGGAGGUUAGUGCAAUGGCAUAAGCCAGCUUGACUGCGAGCGUGACGGCGCGAGCAGGUGCGAAAGCAGGUCAUAGUGAUCCGGUGGUUCUGAAUGGAAGGGCCAUCGCUCAACGGAUAAAAGGUACUCCGGGGAUAACAGGCUGAUACCGCCCAAGAGUUCAUAUCGACGGCGGUGUUUGGCACCUCGAUGUCGGCUCAUCACAUCCUGGGGCUGAAGUAGGUCCCAAGGGUAUGGCUGUUCGCCAUUUAAAGUGGUACGCGAGCUGGGUUUAGAACGUCGUGAGACAGUUCGGUCCCUAUCUGCCGUGGGCGCUGGAGAACUGAGGGGGGCUGCUCCUAGUACGAGAGGACCGGAGUGGACGCAUCACUGGUGUUCGGGUUGUCAUGCCAAUGGCACUGCCCGGUAGCUAAAUGCGGAAGAGAUAAGUGCUGAAAGCAUCUAAGCACGAAACUUGCCCCGAGAUGAGUUCUCCCUGACUCCUUGAGAGUCCUGAAGGAACGUUGAAGACGACGACGUUGAUAGGCCGGGUGUGUAAGCGCAGCGAUGCGUUGAGCUAACCGGUACUAAUGAACCGUGAGG